AUGCUGAGAUAUGAUCUCGAGGAUCAGCUCUCGACCAUCUACACGGAUGAAGAAGCAUACUGGAGGCUCUACAUCACGCGACAGUGGGUGCUCCGUGGGGACGCCAAUACGGCAUACUUCCAGGCGAUUGCCAAUGGGCGGAGGCGUCAGAAUUCCAUCAACUAUUUGUGGGAUGGGGAUACCCCUCUCGUCCGCCCCUCGGACAUUCGAGUCCAUGUCGACGGCUUUUAUAAAGCCCUAUUUUCCCCCACCCGCAGGGGUAGGGCUGCACUGGCCCCCGACACUUGGUCGGCUGCCCAGUUAGUUCCUGACGAGGCGAAUGCUGCCCUUGUGGCGCCAUUCUCCGAGGACGAGGUCCUCAUGGCCAUAAAGGGCACGAACCCCUCCUCUGCCCCGGGACCGGAUGGUCUCACAGUGACGUUCUUCAAAACAUUCUGGCAGACCAUCAAACCGGAAGUCAUGGCCCUCUUUAAUGAAUUCUACUCGGGGGCCAUGGGCCUCGGGCGCCUAAACUAUGGGGUCAUUACACUUAUCCCCAAAGUUUCGGGCGCCUCUGACAUCCGCCUGUUUCGGCCUAUCACCGUGAUCAAUGUGAUAUUCCGGAUCCUGGCCAAGGGGUACGCCAAUAGGGUGACCCUUCUCGCGGAUGUUGUUACCCACCACAGUGGUAAAACAAUCUUUACACAAGGUAAAAAGUGGCUACAGUGCUAA
rnacentral:rRNA from 1 species